AUUGAACGCUGGCGGCAUGCCUUACACAUGCAAGUCGAACGGCAGCACGGGAGCAAUCCUGGUGGCGAGUGGCGAACGGGUGAGUAAUAUAUCGGAACGUGCCCAGUCGUGGGGGAUAACGUAGCGAAAGCUACGCUAAUACCGCAUACUAUCUAUGGAUGAAAGCGGGGGAUCGCAAGACCUCGCGCGAUUGGAGCGGCCGAUAUCAGAUUAGGUAGUUGGUGAGGUAAAGGCUCACCAAGCCGACGAUCUGUAGCUGGUCUGAGAGGACGACCAGCCACACUGGGACUGAGACACGGCCCAGACUCCUACGGGAGGCAGCAGUGGGGAAUUUUCCGCAAUGGGCGAAAGCCUGACGGAGCAAUACCGCGUGAGGGAUGAAUGCCUAUGGGUUGUAAACCUCUUUUUUCUAGGGUAGGGAACAAAAUAGACGUGUACCUGAAGAAUAAGCAUCGGCUAACUCCGUGCCAGCAGCCGCGGUAAAGU
rnacentral:rRNA from 1 species